rnacentral:rRNA from 1 species
GUUUUAUGGUCAAGCUGCAAAGGGCAUAUGGUGAAUGCCUUGGUGCCAGGAGGCGAUGAAAGACGUGGUAAGCUGCGAUAAGCUUCGGGGAGCCGCUAAACAGGUUUAGAUCCGGAGAUCUCUGAAUGGGGAAACCUAUCCUGAGUAAUGUCAGGAUAUCUAUUGCUGAAUACAUAGGCAAUAGAGGUCAACGAGGGGAACUGAAACAUCUAAGUACCCUUAGGAAAAGAAAGCAAAUGCGAUUCCCUCAGUAGCGGCGAGCGAAAGGGGAAUAGCCCAAACCAAAUGUACGUAAUAGCCCGUAAGCGUUGUACUUUUGGGGUUGAGGGAAACUGUCGGACAAAGUUACGGAUUUGUCGGGAAGUUAUAAAUUUUAAUUUAUAGCCGAAUAGUCUGGAAAGACUAACCAUAGAAGGUGAAAGUCCUGUAAGUAAAAUAAAUUAAACUCCCUGGACAGUUUUCCCGAGUACCGCGGGACACGAGGAAUCCUGUGGGAAACUGGGAGGACCAUCUCCCAAGGCUAAAUACUACCUGGCAACCGAUAGUGAACUAGUACCGUGAGGGAAAGGUGAAAAGUACUCCUGUAAGGAGAGUGAAAUAGUACCUGAAACCAUAUGCCUACAAGCUGUGGAAGGACUAUGGAUAGUCUAUACUAUCCAGUCUAACUGCGUGCCUUUUGCAUAAUGAGUCAGCGAGUUAUUGUGUACAGCAAGGUUAAGCCGUCAGGUGGAGCCGUAGCGAAAGCGAGUCUUAAUAGGGCGAAUUAGUUGUAUAUAAUAGACCCGAAACCAGGUGAUCUAUCCAUGGCCAGGGUGAAGUUCGCGUAACAGCGAAUGGAGGCCCGAACCAGUGUCGGUUGAAAACGGCUUGGAUGAGCUGUGGAUAGGAGUGAAAGGCUAAUCAAACCUGGAGAUAGCUGGUUCUCCCCGAAAUAUAUUUAGGUAUAGCCUCAGGAAUUACUAGCAGAGGUAGAGCACUGGAUGGGCUAGGGGUCCUACCAGAUUACCAAACCCAACCAAACUCCGAAUGCUGCUAAGUAUAAUCCUGGGAGUCAGACUGCGGGAGAUAAGUUCCGUAGUCGAGAGGGAAACAACCCAGACCGCCAGCUAAGGUCCCAAAAUAUGUGCUAAGUGUAAAAGGAUGUGGAAACGCUCAGACAACCAGGAGGUUGGCUUAGAGGCAGCCAUCCUUUAAAGAAAGCGUAACAGCUCACUGGUCAAGUGGGUCUGCGCCUAAAAUGUAACGGGGCUCAAGCACAUUACCGAAGCUGCGGAGGGGCGACUUUGUCGCCCUUGGUAGGGGAGCAUUUCAGUAAUCGGUGAAGGCAGACCGUGAGGACUGCUGGAGAAACUGGAAGAGAUUAUGCUGACAUGAGUAGCGAUAAUGCCGGUGAGAAACCGGCACGCCGUAAGCCUAAGGUUUCCUGAGGAAGGUUAAUCCUCUCAGGGUUAGUCGAUCCCUAAGCCGAGGCCGAAAGGCGUAGGCGAUGGAAAACAGGUUAAUAUUCCUGUACCACCAGAUUAGCGUUUGAGUGAUGGGGGGACGUAGAAGGGUAGGCCAUCCUACUGUUGGAAUAGUAGGUUCAAGCUCGUAGGAGGAUAUUCCAGGCAAAUCCGGAAUAUCACAACUCCGAGAAGCGAUGAGGAGUCCAUUUGGACAUAAACUGGUUGAUCCCAUGCUACCAAGAAAAGCCUCUAGCGAGUUAUUUUGGUGAUCGUACCGCAAACCGACACAGGUAGGCAGGGAGAGCAUCCCAAGGCGCUUGAGAUAACCCUCGUUAAGGAACUCGGCCAAUUGACUCCGUAACUUAGGGAGAAGGAGUGCCCACACUAGGUGAAGGAACUUGCUUCUGGAGCCGAAGUGGGUCGCAGAGAAACGGCUGUAGCGACUGUUUAUUAAAAACACAGGUCUCUGCUAAGUCGCAAGACGAUGUAUAGGGACUGACGCCUGCCCGGUGCUGGAAGGUUAAGGAGAGAUGUUAUUUCCGCCUUUGGCGGAGAGAAGCUUCGAACCGAAGCCCCAGUAAACGGCGGCCGUAACUAUAACGGUCCUAAGGUAGCGAAAUUCCUUGUCGGGUNNNNNNNNNNNNNNNNNNNNNNNNNNNNNNNNNNNUAACGACUUCAGCACUGUCUCAACGAGGGGCUCAGCGAAAUUGAAGCGGCGGUGAAGAUACCGUCUACCCGCAACUAGACGGAAAGACCCCGGCACCUUUACUAUAGCUUGACAUUGGAUUUUGGGAUAGCUUGUGUAGGAUAGGUGGGAGACUGAGAAGUUCCGACGCUAGUCGGGAUGGAGUCAUCCUUGAAAUACCACCCUGGUUAUUCGGAAAUUCUAACUCAGAUCCGUUAUCCGGGUCGAGGACAGUGUCUGGUGGGUAGUUUGACUGGGGCGGUCGCCUCCUAAAGAGUAACGGAGGCGCACGAAGGUUCCCUCAGGCUGAUUGGAAACCAGCCGUAGAGUGUAAAGGCAUAAGGGAGCUUAACUGCGAGACCUACAAGUCAAGCAGAUGCGAAAGCAGGUCUUAGUGAUCCGGCGGUCCCGAAUGGAAGGGCCGUCGCUCAACGGAUAAAAGGUACGCCGGGGAUAACAGGCUUAUCUCCCCCAAGAGUCCACAUCGACGGGGAGGUUUGGCACCUCGAUGUCGGCUCAUCGCAUCCUGGGGCUGAAGCAGGUCCCAAGGGUUUGGCUGUUCGCCAAUUAAAGCGGUACGUGAGCUGGGUUUAGAACGUCGUGAGACAG